rnacentral:rRNA from 1 species
GACGAACGCUGGCGGCGUGCCUAAUACAUGCAAGUCGAACGCUUUUUCUUUCACCGGAGCUUGCUCCACCGAAAGAAAAAGAGUGGCGAACGGGUGAGUAACACGUGGGUAACCUGCCCAUCAGAAGGGGAUAACACUUGGAAACAGGUGCUAAUACCGUAUAACAAGUAAAACCGCAUGGUUUUACUUUGAAAGGCGCUUUUGCGUCACUGAUGGAUGGACCCGCGGUGCAUUAGCUAGUUGGUGAGGUAACGGCUCACCAAGGCAACGAUGCAUAGCCGACCUGAGAGGGUGAUCGGCCACAUUGGGACUGAGACACGGCCCAAACUCCUACGGGAGGCAGCAGUAGGGAAUCUUCGGCAAUGGACGAAAGUCUGACCGAGCAACGCCGCGUGAGUGAAGAAGGUUUUCGGAUCGUAAAACUCUGUUGUUAGAGAAGAACAAGGAUGAGAGUAAAAAGUUCAUCCCUUGACGGUAUCUAACCAGAAAGCCACGGCUAACUACGUGCCAGCAGCCGCGGUAAUACGUAGGUGGCAAGCGUUGUCCGGAUUUAUUGGGCGUAAAGCGAGCGCAGGCGGUUUCUUAAGUCUGAUGUGAAAGCCCCCGGCUCAACCGGGGAGGGUCAUUGGAAACUGGGAAACUUGAGUGCAGAAGAGGAGAGUGGAAUUCCAUGUGUAGCGGUGAAAUGCGUAGAUAUAUGGAGGAACACCAGUGGCGAAGGCGGCUCUCUGGUCUGUAACUGACGCUGAGGCUCGAAAGCGUGGGGAGCAAACAGGAU